AACUAAGAAAUGUUAUCCCCGUUCAUUUGUAGGUGGUACCAGUAUUUUAAACUAAGAAAAAUGUUAUCUCUAUUCCACCCACAUGAACACGGGACAAACUGAUGCCAUUCCUAACCCAUGCCUGUGAAGGAUCUAGAUAACUUUGCCUAGUAUCCAGGUGGCUACAAAUGGCACUGACGACAUUUCAAAUGAACGCAACAUUGUAGAUUUCCACAGCAAGCUACAGAAUGAGCAUAGAUUGCUACCUAGGACAAGACAACAAUCUAAAUAAGAACGGCACUCCCAAAAUCCUAGUAGCAGCAUUCACUCUUGACACGGUUGAGCAUUUCAAGGCAGCACAGAAACAUCCAUGGAAGCACAACAUGGACUGGGUCCCCGACUCCCCCAUGGAGACUGAACAGAUCGGAGCCACGGCAAGACGAACAACAAUGGC
rnacentral:lncRNA from 7 species